AAGACGGUUACUGACGCAUGUGGUGGAUGCCUUGACUCGAACAAGCGAUGAAGGACGUAGCAGGCUGCGAAAAGCCUCGGGGAGCUGCCAAGCAAGCAUUGAUCCGGGGAUAUCCGAAUGGGGCAACCCUUUCCGUCUUUGACGGAAAAUCGUCGUCUGAAUUCAUAGGACGACGAAGCGCACCCUGAGAAUUGAAACAUCUUAGUAUCAGGAGGAAGAGAAAUCAUAUGAGAUUCCGAGAGUAGUGGCGAGCGAAAUCGGAACAGCCUAAACCAACGGGCUUGCUCGUUGGGGUUGCGGGGCGAUCGUACUCGUUUAAUCGGGGUCCCGCAUCAUCUUUUAGCGGAAGUGUCUGGAAAGUCACACCAAAGGAGGUAAUAGUCCUGUACGCGAAAAGAGAUGAUGUCGGAUGCGAUCGUACCCAAGUAGGGCGGGACCGGAGAAAUCCCGUUUGAAUCUGGGAGCACUAACUUCCAAGGCUAAAUAUUGUUCGAGAUCGAUAGCGAACUAGUACCGUGAGGGAAAGGUGAAAAGUAUCCCGAAAGGGAGGUGAAAUAGACCUGAAACCACAUGCUAACAAAGAGUCGGAGCCGUUCACAUCACACUUUGUGUGACGUGAACCAGUUUGUAAAGUUUUAAAGUUUGUAAAGUGAAAAGUUUGAAGUGUGUCGCGAAGCGACUCCCUGAAACUUUAAGAACUUUACGGACUUGAUGACUUUCAACUUGUGAAACAUCGCGCGCAGCGUGAUGUGAGCGGUGACGGCGUGCUUUUUGCAGCACGAUCCAACGAGUUAGUUCUACGCGGCUUGUCUAAGGGGGUAAAAACUCCGGAGACGCAGUGAAAGCGAGCCUGAUAAGGGCGUUCGUCGCGUGGACUAGACCCGAAGCCGGACGAGCUACACUUGAGCAGGGUGAAGCGCGGGUAAAACCGCGUGGAGGCCCGCACCCACUCGCUGUGCAACACGAGGGGAUGACUUGAGUGUAGGGGAGAAAUUCCAAUCGAGUUCGGCAAUAGCUGGUUCUCUCCGAAAUAGCUUGAGGGCUAGCGUCCCGACACUCUGCGUGGGGGGUAGAGCUACUGGAUGAGAAGUCGCGGGCAACCGUAGGCUUUUCAACCAAACUCCGAAUACCCAUGUAUGUUAUCGGGGCAGUCAGUACUCCGGGGCUAAGCUCGGAGCACAAAAGGGAAACAGCCCAGACCGUAAGCUAAGGUCCCAAAAUCCAUGUUCAGUGGGAAAGGAAGUGAAGUUUCUCUGACACUUAGGAGGUUGGCUUAGAAGCAGCCAUCCUUUAAAGAGUGCGUAAUAGCUCACUAAUCUAGAGACUUCGCGCCGACAAUGUAACGGGGCUCAAACAUGGUACCGAAGCUACGGGCCGAUGCGCAGCAUCGGCGAGUUGAAAGUUUAUAAAGUUUAUAAAGUUUAUAAAGUUUUCCUUCGGGCAGACUUGAUGGACUUUACGAACUUGUGACUUUUGACUUGCCGAUGCUGUGCGUCGGCGGUAGGAGAGCGUUCCGUAUGCGCAGAAGCGGAAGGGUGACCGACCGUGGAGCGUACGGAAGUGAGAAUGUUGGAAUGAGUAACCACAAUGAGAGUGAGAUCCUCUCACACCGAAAGUUCAAGGUUUCCUGGGCCAUGGUGAUCAUCCCAGGGUUAGUCGGUCCUAAGGCGAGGCUGAAAGGCGUAGUCGAUGGAUAGCAGGUUAAUAUUCCUGCACUGCGUGUAUAUUCGAUGGAGUGACGCAUUUCUGUACCCUCUGCACCUUAUUGGAUUGGUGUGGACGGUUCGAGGAGGUUUGCCAGGCAAAUCCGGCAGACACUACUCCGAGUUCCGUACCGAUUUCUCCAGCAAUGGAGGAAAAGAGAGGGGAGCGGGGUGCCAAGAAAAGCUUCUCAGGUUCGUAUACACGCAACCGUACCGCAAACCGACACAGGUGAACUGGGCGAGUAGCCUAAGGUGAACGGGAGAGUCUUCGUUAAGGAACUAGGCAAAAAAGCUAGGCGUAAGUUCGCAAUAUGCCUUCCCGGCCCGCAAGGGUCGGGCGCAGCGAAAGUUUUCCAAGCGACUGUUUACCAAAAACACAGCUCUCUGCUAACCCGUAAGGGGAUGUAUAGGGGGUGACACCUGACCAGUGCCGGAACGUUAACGGGAGCGGUUCACGCCAAUCCCCGAAGCGCCGGUGAACGUCGGCGAUAACUAUAAUCGUCCUAAGGUUCUGGGACUUCCGAGCGGAGGUUCCGGAAGGACUGGGACGAUUGUAGCGAGUGGGUAAAUAGAUGACACAACAAGCUGCUUCGUUUCGCAGUAAUGCGGAAUUGGUCCUAAAACACAUGGCUAUAUGCUGGGAAGCUCCGCGGGGAGUGAUCAGCAGGGAAGACCCUGAGUGUAAAAUCGAAGGGAACCCUCAGAUACCAUACGCCGUGCUCCAUCAAAUGGUGAUGGAAGAAGAUAUGGUACAUCGCCGAAAGGAGCGAUCAGCGAAAUUCCUUGGCAGGUAAGAAGUUGCCUGUGCCGAGAGUGAUCUCGGUAUCAAAUUCGGCUAAUAACGGUGAAGUCCUCGCUCGAGCAUUCUGCGCAAGGAGAAUGUGACGAAGGCAGGAGAAUACCGUGGGAACCUCGACUUGUAGUCCUGGACCCGUAUCGACUGAAUCCACUUCGUGUGGAUGAGAUGGUAGAAAUGUUUCGUGGCAUCAUUUAUGCCGAGAAACAAAACAACGCUACCAUAAUACGCCGACUCCUUCCGAUAGGAAGGAUGAAGAUAUAGUCAGUGCCAGCAGAAAUGUUGGAAUCACAUGAAGUUCUGUCCCGCAUGAAAGGUGUAACGACUUGGAAGCUGUCUCAACGAAGAUCCCGGUGAAAUUGCAAUGACGGUAAAGAUGCCGUCGCCCUGCAGCAAGACGAAAAGACCCCAUGGAGCUUUACUAUAGCUUGGUAUUGAUGCAAGAUUUUUGUUGCCGAGAAUAGGUGGGAGACUUUGAAGCCGCGCCUUCGGGUGCGGUGGAGUCGACAAGUGAAAUACCACUCUGCAAAGAUUUUGCCUCUCACCUGCCGCCGUGAAUCCGGCGGGGGGACAGUGCCUGGUGGGUAGUUUGACUGGGGCGGUCGCCUCCUAAAAUGCAACGGAGGCGUUUACAAAGGUCGGCUAGAUCCGGAUGGAAAUCGGGUCGAUAGCGCAAACGCACAAGCCGGCUUUACUGAAAGACCGAUCAGUCGAUCAGUUCCGAAAGGAGAAGUUAGUGAACCGACCAUCACUCGUAGGAGUGUGGAAGAUCAUCAGAUAAAAGUUACCCUGGGGAUAACAGGCUGAUCUUGCCCAAGAGUCCAUAUCGACGGCAAGGUUUGGCACCUCGAUGUCGGCUCAUCGCAUCCUGGGGGUGGAGAAGCUCCCAAGGGUUUGGCUGUUCGCCAAUUAAAGCGGUACGUGAGCUGGGUUCAAACCGUCGUGAGACAGGUUGGUUUCCUAUCUGCUGUGGGCGCCGCUGCUUGAGAGAUCUCUUCCUUAGUACGAGAGGACCGGGAAGAACGAACCUCUGGUGUAUCUGCUGUUCCGCCAGGAGCACCGCAGAGUAGCUAUGUUCGGGUAGGAUAACCGCUGAAAGCAUCUAAGCGGGAAGCCAAGCUCAAGAUAAGGCAGCUGUUCCGAUUUAUCGGAACGAGAUUUCCUCAGAGAUGAUGAGGUUGAUAGGCUUCAGGUGGAAGCCCUGUGAGGGGUUGAGCCGAGAAGUACUAAUGAAUCUGAAUACCAUUCUUU
rnacentral:rRNA from 1 species